GCAAACAUUCCAAGAGGAAGCAGAAGCUGCCAGUCCUUUUAAAGAUGAGGCUUGGGUGUGACAUGGUUGUUCUUGCAGAACAUGCCAGUAGAAGCAUUCACCAACUGAAAUGUGCCCUGAAAGAAGGCGAUGUCACUAUUGGAGAAGAUGCACCAAAUCUUUCUUUUAGCACCAGUGUGGGAAACGAGGAUGCCAGGACAGCCUGGCUCGAAUUACAACAGAGCCAUGCUGUUAAUCAGCUCAAAGAUUUGUUGCGCCAACAAGCAGAUAAGGAAAGUGAAGUAUC
rnacentral:sRNA from 1 species